CAGCCGCCGCGGUAAUACGAAGGGGGCUAGCGUUGUUCGGAUUUACCGGGCGUAAAGGGCGCGUAGGCGGACUGAUAAGUCAGGGGUGAAAUCCCAAGGCUCAACCUUGGAACUGCCUUUGAUACUGUUUGUCUUGAGUUCGAGAGAGGUAAGUGGAACUGCGAGUGUAGAGGUGAAAUUCGUAGAUAUUCGCAAGAACACCAGUGGCGAAGGCGGCUUACUGGCUCGAAACUGACGCUGAGGCGCGAAAGCGUGGGGAGCAAACAGGAUUAGAUACCCCAGUAGUCCCUGUCUCUUAUAA
rnacentral:rRNA from 1 species